GGGCAGGGUGAAGCUGGAAGGCCCAGCUCUAAGCAGGAGUCUGAAAGGCAGGAUUCUGAACCUGCCAACAGCAGCGAAGUGAAAGCCACCCUCAGAGAUUCCUAGCUGGGAACAGAGGAGUGGCAGCAGACAGUCCGAAUGCUACACCAGCCCCUCACAGCCCUCCCAGGCUUCAGAGAAAUGCAGUGCCCGGGAACUUCAAGUCCCACUGCCCACCCACUGAGUGGAGAGCAACACAGACAAAUAUCCCACAGGAGCCGGCUCUGAACCAGCUGGGGAACAGUCAUAGGCUCAAAACCCAGUGAGUGACCUGAGGCUGCACCAAUACCUGGGCUCGGAAUUACUCUGGAUGCUGUAUCCAGGAAAACCACCCAAACAGACGCCAAGCCACAACUUGCGUCCAAGUUGCGGAGAAGGUGGUUCCUUAGACCGGUGGAACCUGUGGAUGACUUGGAACCUUGGUGUGAACAGCGUCCUUUGCUCAAUCUGGAGGCUUCUUACGUCCCCGGGAUACUAGAUGGACCCUGACACACACACACACACACACACACACACACACACACACACACACACCUGCCCUUUUGAUCAUCCCUGUGCCGAUUAGGGACCUUAUUCCAGACAGCCUGCUUACAUAGACACAAGCAUUAGCGCCUCACACAUUUAUUGAGCUCCUGCCUGUUGUUGCAUGUGCAAAUCAAACACUAUAAAUAUAUGACAUGUGGUGGCUCGAGGCGAGGAAGGAUCGUGGCCACUCACGUGGUUUCUCCAGCCCGCUAUGACUUUUUCAACUAAGUUCGACGCUUAGAACCUGCUGUCCAGGAACUGAGACUUCCGGCGGCCACGUGGGUCACGAAAUUCUCUCUUGGGGUCUUUAGGCAGCUGCUCAGUCUGGGAAGUUGCAUCCGGAGCCCAUUGACUCAGACGCUAGUUAAGGCCGCGUCUUCAGUGGCAACUCCUUGGCACCCAGCAUCGAAUUCACCACGACCGAUCACUGUUUCUGUAAGACACUAGGCCCUUUGGAUAGCCAUGCAGUAAACUGAAGGCCGCGCACCUCCGCCUCAAGCAAGUUUCGGUGUUGGAGUCAAUGUAGACCUCUUCCACCUCUUGGGAAAGCAGUUGAAACAACAGUGGGUAAUUUGUGAAGGAGGACACUGGCCGCCUCUCCGACUCCCGGCCCCACAGGACCCCUGGCAGCGGCGCAAAGCCGGCCGGAAGACAGCCGCACCGCCCCUCCCGGUCCAGGCCCAGCCUGCCUGGCGGAGGAUCAAAGAGACCAGGCCUUGCUUCUCAGCGCUCAGAUCCUAUCAGCGCCCUGCCAGCGGGGCUUCUGAGUCCUCCAGCUCCCAGCCGGGAUGCCCGUUUCACCUCCUUCUCAGCGAUGGGGGGCUUGGCCAUUAAUGCUGAGCUUGGCAAUAGAGAUGCGGUGCAGAACCCGCCCUUGGCACCUCUAAAGUCCUUCUUCCGCAGGUGCCAGUUUGCUACUGAUUUUGACCCCAUCUUCUCUAGAUUCGGGGGCAGGGCAGGGGCUCCAAUGGAAAGCCUACAGGAGAAGAAGGGCCCAGGGGCGAGGCCUCCCCCUACGACCUCAGCUCCGAGGUUGUCCCGGCUAACUUUGGGGUGAGCACUUCUCUGAGAAAAUUGCACAGAAAUUGAGAUCAUCCUAAGCCAAAGCGCAGCAGAUCCUCCUGUGUUUAUAAACGACUCCAACUUUGACAAUGUCAUGUUGCUUCCAUGAUAGUUGGCAGACCAUGAAGUUUCAACUGACACAGGUCAUUGGGGGUCGAAUUUCUGAAGAAAAGUCAGGGCUGGGGAGGUGUGAUUCUGCCCUCCAGGGUAAUUUUUUUUUCCCAGCUUGGUAUUGCCCUUUUAUCAAAGAACAAGGCCUUUCGGCCUUAUUGGUGCAGAAGUAGCCNUGGCAAGAGAAAAUAUAUUUUUUCCUGAUUUGUUAGCUUUCCCACCCUCCAGUUUCUUUGGAUGACUUUAUAGAGCUGUGAAAACCCCCCUUCCUGGGAUCCACUGCCCUGGGGCAUCCUGGCUCCAAGCCUCACCCCCUGAGGAUGAGCAGUGAGGGGGAGGCAAGAGGGGAGAAAAGGAGCUUGUGGACAGGGAGGGCGGGGGUGGCAUAGAUGGAGUCUCCGCCUCCGCUUCCACACUGAGCAUAGUGUAAAGGCUCGCUGCAUAGCAGCUUAUGUAAACUCCCACAAGAUGGUAGAACAGGAAGGAGCGCAGGCACAGGAGGUCGAGAGACCCGGAAUGGGCUGAGAGGCCUAGGGGUGAGGAGUGGGAGAGAGGUGGAGGUGAGAUUCAUCUGGUGUGGAAAACCCCCAGGGUUUGGAGAGCUAACCCAGUCUGGGCUACAUAGUGAGAUCCUAUCUGAAGAAAAAUAAAAAUAAAUAAAUAGAUAGAAGCAGCAGCAGAAGCCUAGCCAGCACCAGUUCUGUAACCAUCACCGGAGAGAUGAUGACCUCAUACACUAGGCGAUUACAGCCUGCCAGCAUCCAUCGGAGCUUCACACACAUCACCUAAUUUAAUCGUUACUAAACUCUGAGAUAUGGGGACAAUUGUCCCCAUUUUACUAAUGAGGAAACUGAAGCUCAGAGAGGUUGUUUGAGUCACCCAAGGUGUCACAGCUUCAAAAUGAGGGUGCUGAGCUGAGCUUCCAGCUCCUGGUGGUCAGUCCCCAGACCCAACACCUAACUGCCAUGCUCAUAUCCCAGUCCGACCCCUGAGACGCUGAGAGGCUUCUCCGACCCAUAUCAAGGCAGGGUUUCCCUGUGCGGCCCUGACUCUCCUGGAAGUCAUUUUUCUCUAGACCAUGUUGGCCUCAUCCUUAGAUCUGCCUACCUCUGCUUCCUGAGUGCUGGAAAGGGACUUAUCUGCUGUGUGACAUAUGCAGACAUACUGAGGAACUAGCUAUCAGUAAUAAAAAUUACUAAACC
ensembl:antisense A630014C17Rik RIKEN cDNA A630014C17 gene